CACAGAUUACUGCAUGGGAUACAUCUUUUCUGUGUUGCUGGUUUUAAAUUAAGUAGGAGAAUUUACCCCGGGUUGUAACAAUGUACACUGUCACUUACCCACUGUCACUGUCAAAGCAGAUCAAGGCAUUCUGGCUUCCUGGGCUAUCUCCAUGUCCAACUAGCACAUGUCAAUAGUUUUCAGCUAAUUGCCCAGCAAUUUUAUGGCUGAAUGGCAGGUCAAUGAAAAUUUCAAAGGAUUGCAUGUGGCUGAGCUGCACUGAGUCACAAAAGUGAUAAAUAAGAAGUUGAAUUAUCAGGGUUGCAUGGAACUGUGAAAGCAGUGAAGGGAGAAGGGAGGAUAAGUAAUAAUGUGUGCUUUAGUCAGUCAGGGUGCUCUACAACUGCUGGACUUGUUAGCCUGCAGUCAGUCUGCAGUGGUGAAGGGUCUGUCUAGGGCAUUAUCAAUACUGAUAAUGGCUAGCUGGCUGGGUUAUCUAAGCAAGGGGAAACAGUCACAGGAAUCCAAGGACAGUUGAAAGUUGUAGUUGAGGGGGAAGGAUGAGAAUAUCAAUGGUAACAAUAAUUACUGGUGCAGGAAGGUAGCGUGAAGGGUUAUGGAACCAUAGACAGGAGAGAUGGUCACCGGGAAGGGUGUGGUGGUGGUGUUUGUCGAAUGGCCCAGUGAAUAAGCUGAAUAUCUCCUGGCUGAAAGACUAUCAAAAUUUAUUGUACAAAACUAUUGAAAUAGAAAUGGCUGUAGUCAAAGUGGGAGAAUUUUUUAUUGGAGGCAAAAUUAUACCUUGCAUGUUUUAGCCAACUGAAGAGAGUCUCUCAUAUUAAUCAAGAGUCCAGUAGAUGGACAAUCAGACACAUUACCAGAUUAUCAACAGCACUCAUGUACGCAUAUUCCAACAAGAUUUCUUGCAGUUGUGGAUUCAAAGUUCAUUUGACAGGUUACUGCAUAUCUAACAGAUCAUGAGGUGACGAUGUAAAUGUAAACAUUGCUCCACAGUUACAAGCCAACCAUCUAAUAACUGCACGUUUUGGUGUCCCAGCUGGAUGAUGAGGAGCAAAGUGGCAGGAGCUGUGGACUGGUGGUGGCAGUGGUUGUUGGCAGCAUCAUCAUAUCAAGGAUAUGUUAGAAGGGUUCUGCAUCAAUCAUCUUGAGGCAAGCUAUUAUGCAUGAGAAGGUAUACUGUGAAUAUCCAGGCAAUGUGCACUGCCACCAUUGCAUGACACCUUGCUCACAAGGAACUGUUCUUCAAAGCCACUCAAGAUGCAGCUUCUCGUGGAACAUAUAAUGGUUGGACUGAAGAAAACAUUGCAAGGUAACUGACUUUCCACAUGGUGGGCAGGUUGGCAGUAUGCAAGUCUAAGAGAAAGAUCUGCAAGACAUUACUGUCUUCAUAGAUCCCCAGAAAGCCACAUCCAAUGGCAAAGAUAAAUCCUGCCAUUUCUUUGGUCAUUUUGAUUUUCAGAAAAAGCUGUGAGCAUCAGCUGCUACUAAGACAACAGCACAUGCAAGAGCAACAACAACAUGUUCAAGAGCCAUCACCAGCGGUUCACCACCCUAUGGAGGCAAAACUGCACAAGAACAUCAACAUAGAUGGCAAACAUUGUUCUGAAGUUGAGGCUACAUACAGCUAUCUGCAUAUGUCACCAAUGAUGUCUCGGGAAAUCGCAAGAAGUUGUCUGCUACCUUUGCCAGCAGCUGGUUGAGCACCUGCAACAUCAUGGACCAGGAGGAAACCCCAUCUGGUUAUCUUGAAGUUUUCAGUGUUCCUUAAUUUUCAUGUGGGUGGAUCAUUUCCAGGAGCCAGUGAGAAUCUCUGAAGAUUGCUAGAUCUGAAGUCUGUUUGAAGAGGUCCACACCAGUCCAAGAACAGAAAUGCUAAUAACAACACGUACUGGCAGUAACAGCAAAUGGCACAGUAACAGAGAAGGAAUAAUCAUUAACAACUUACCAUUAAGAUGCCAGCACAAUUUAAAAGCUGUGUGUGCAAUGCAUAUGCAGAGACUUGAUGAGAAUAAAACAUUGCUAAUACAUGAGAACAGUUGUUUCGAUAGUGAAUAACUCAAAAUAUACAAGAUAAUACGUUUUUUUUGUAAAGGGAAUGUUCACAAUAGAAAUGUAAAAUUGUACUAGUGUGUCUCCUAGCUUGCCAUAGUGGCUUCUACCAGGAAGCAUUUACUGAGGGCUGCCAUCUUGCAAUCCAAUAUACAAUACAAACAAUAUGGUACUCAACUAAAUCACAAGUUACAGUCUUACAUUGUACUGUUUCAAUGGCUGUGUAUUCUCAACAAGUGAGGUUCCAGAAUCAUGAAGUGUACAAAUGCUCAGACUUCCCCAUUUCCUCUCCAUGUAUCCUUGAGAAGAAGGGCCAUCUUUAGAGAAGUUGAAGUUCUUCAUCCCCCUCUCACAUCAUCAUUGAUGCUGGGCAUCUAUGGCUAGACCAGUGAAUUGCAGGUCUGAGCUCACAUCCAGCAGUCAAUGUACAUUCUGCUAGACCUACAAUUUUAAGCUGUGUGUCACCCUCUCAAUGGAGGCAGCCGAGCUUUGUGUGCUGGAGCAGUAGUACACAAAUGAUGGGUGGACUGCAUCUUUCAUUUAAUGUUUAGUGAGGACCUUGUCAUCCUUGACUAAUGUUUCCCUGCUUAUCCCUGCAUAUUUUGUAUCCCAGUUAUGGCCAAACCCUGAGCCAUAUCUCCUGCCUGGGGAGGAACAGGCAGUCCACUUGAGUGUCUGAAAGCUUGGGUUUUUCUUCCUCCACCAUCUGUGGACACAUUAGUGAUGUGCUCACCAGAUUGUCACACUUUGUCACCUCAAGUGUACUCUAGUUAAACAUUCAGUGAAAGAGGGUGGGAGUGAAUGCUUUAUUAGUGAGUUCUAUGAAGUGUCAGAGGCUUUUUCCUCAGAGUUGCUUGAGCUGGGCAGUCUCAACCCACUUUAAUUUGGCUAUCUGUUGACCCUCAUACCUGUGGAAGAGGAGAGAGAGAGAAUUAGAUGAAGAAAAACAACCACUUAUAUAAAGUAAGUAAAGGAGAGACAACUGAUGGUGGUUUGAGCCGAGCAUCACCAUGCCUCAGGUGAGGGCAAGGUUGAGAAGGCAGGACCUCAUGGUGAUCUGAGCCAGUGCAGGAACUUUAUAUAGAGGAAUGUAAGAGUGUGGCUGCAUUUGUGAGAAUAAUAAUAUUGCCUGCUGGCUUCUGCCAUGCCUAUCUCCCCAUCAGCACAAGAUUGGUCUUGAUUCUCAUUUGCUAGUUCACCCAUGUUUCUCCAAUGUAGUGAGGAUAUGGAGAUAAGGAAGCCCUCUACUAGUUGGAUCUUCUCCUUCAUGUUGUGCAUCAGGUUGACCUGCAAUGUGAGAAAGAGAAAGUUUAAGUGUGAUGGGAAUGCGUGUACAAACACGAGAAAGCAUAAUCUUGCCAGGCAGUGAGCCCUCUCCUGUCAGUAGGAUGUGCAUGUACAUGUGAAGUAUUAGAGGAAUGGUAGUAUAAUGGGUGUGAGCCCUUCAGUGCACAUCAUGCAUGUAAUGAUGAGCUGGGCAUGUCUAUGUGACAUGAUUAUAAAGUUAGACCAAAUAAUGACCCUGAGCAUGAGGAUGCAGUGAGAAAAUGUUGGCACUUAUUUUUACAGAGCGAUUAUCCUCUUUCUACAAUGGUUUCCAGUGCAUUGAUGUCUACUGGAGUUGCUAACCUCUACAAACUGGGCCAAGGCAUAAUGGGAGGACUUUUUCUGACCUUCACAAAGGCUGCAUCAAUGUGACAUCAUUAAAGCAUCUUGUGAUGCUUGGAAACACCUCUGGCCAAAGGGAUCUCUGGCUUGCAGCAAGUGGAGGAAUGCUGGAAUUCCCUUAAAGAUAGUGCUAGAACCAUCAACACUGGAAGGUGCCAGGUGCAGGAAAUGUUUCUUUCUUGCUAAAUUAGCUUCCUGUACAAAACACUGGUUCCAAAUUCUUCAAAGUCUUGGCGGGAUACACACAUCUGGUGGAAAUUGGAAAGACCAGACAAAAUGGCUGCUCCUUUCCAUGAAAGCCAUCCUACUUUCUGAUCAGCUUAAAUCCACUCUACGAAAGAUUGAGAGACUGUCACCUACAGUACGAGAUCACCAG